UCGUGAUAUUGUUGAGCAUGUGAGGAUCCUGUGUGUGUGUUUGGGCCUAGUGACUGCGCAAUGUGUUGCUGGUGAUAAGGAGAUUGGUGUGACUGUUGAAACUGUGUGUAUAUUUGUACAGCUUUUUGAAUCAGACGUUCUGUUGAAAUAAUCUGAUUCACUUGGCUGUUAGUCUUUUGUCUUGUAUGUUUAAAAAAAAAAGUAGGGAGUAGCUUGUCCUGGUGGCCGCAUGGCCUCCAUGUAGCAGUCUUCACUUAAAUUUAGUGCAGAGUGUACAUGUGGCUGUAACUAGUAGGCUGGAAUUCUGUGAUCAGUUUCUAUAUAUUGACUGUUGGAAACUGAUUGUUGCCUUGGUGAAUUAAACUGUGUCAUAUGGGAAACAAUGUAGCCACAUGGUGGUCAGAACUAAGGACUUAAUUAC